CGUCGCACGAGACUGGAGAGAGCGAAGCGAGUGUCUCCCGAAGCAUCAUCCUUCCUGGCGAAGCAAGCGACGCCUGCCGCGCCUUCGCCUUCUGCCGCCGCAGCGACUGGGCCGACGAUCUCCGCGCGCCUCGCCCUCUCGCCGGCGACAUGACUCGCUCCUUUCCCAACAUGUACCGGCUCCGAGCCAGGGACAAGAUUAAGAUGGCAAUCAAGCGUGGGUUCAGCGAUGAGGAUGAGGAGGAAGUGACACAGAUGUCAGGCCCAGUGGACUUAAAGGAGGCCACCCACGCAGACAAGAUCACAAAGGAAGCUUGGGCUAAGGUUAUCGUGCACAGGAAAGCGUCUGCCCUGACAGGUGCCCCGCGGAUCGCGACAGGCCCCACCCCUGCCCUGGAGAACGCCACAGGCCCGACCCCUACCUCGGAGACUGCCCCGACCCUCGCCCUGGCCCGAGCCAUCCACUAAAUCUGGCGAAAGGACUGCUGUACAAAUGGGCAAUUGGCACAAGGCAAAGAUUUCAGGAGAAUGUUUGCAUCAACAGGUUUUUUUUUCAGUUCCUCUUGUUUUCAGUUCCCUUCCUAAUGGUGAUCAGUCACAAACCUUAAAAUGUAGCUGAGUUUGUGCCUUGAAACUGGCUGAAGGGUACCGGUAAAUGGUAAGGGGAGAAGCUUUCCCGUGGUAUGCGAACCAAGUCUUGUGGUUACGAUGGAUGCUUUACCUUGUUCUGCAAUGCGGAAGCAUGUAUGUGUUCACUCUGAGGUGUUUGUCUU